UGAGAUUAAACCGCGAUAGGUCAAGAUUUCUGGAAUGGAUCCUGGCUUAAAUCUACAUGGCCCCUGGAUUGGACUGCGGCCGAUCAGGCUGUUGGUGAGGUAAUGGCCCACCAAACCUAUAACCGGUACGGGCUCUGAGAGGAGAAGCCCGGAGAUGGGCACUGAGACGAGGGCCCAGGCCCUAUGGGGCGCAGCAGGCGCGAAACCUCUGCAAUGGGCGAAAGCCUGACAGGGUUACUCUGAGUGAUUUCCGCUAAGGAGAUCUUUUGGCAGCUCUAAAAAUGGUGCAGAAUAAGGGGUGGGCAAGUCUGGUGUCAGCCGCCGCGGUAAUACCAGCACCCCGAGUGGUCGGGACGAUUAUUGGGCCUAAAGCAUCCGUAGCCGGUUGUGCAAGUCCUCCGUUAAAUCCAGCCGCUCAACGGAUGGGCUGCGGAGGAUACUACAGGACUAGGAGGCGGGAGAGGCAAGCGGUACUUAGUGGGUAGGGGUAAAAUCCUUUGAUCCAUUGAAGACCACCAGUGGCGAAGGCGGCUUGCCAGAACGCGCUCGACGGUGAGGGAUGAAAGCUGGGGGAGCAAACCGGAUUAGAUACCCGGGUAGUCCCAGCUGUAAACGAUGCAGACUCGGUGAUGGGCUAGCCUCGUGUCAGCCCAGUGCCGCAGGGAAGCCGUUAAGUCUGCCGCC
rnacentral:rRNA from 1 species